AAUACCUGUGUUAUUUUGUAAAGGGAAGUAGAUAAUUUUUCAAAAAGGAUGUUAGCGUGUAUUUUGUAUAGACAAUAACCUGGUUAUGAUGGCAGAACGAUCAAUACCUGUGCCCGAUUGAAGGUAAUCAAUAACACGUUAUAGUCGCCAUAUUAUUUAUGGCGUUUGUCGCAUGUUUCCUAUGUGUCUGGUCGAAGCCGACGAGUCAUAUCGAACAUUCCUGCCUCUCCCACUGUCCGUCAAUUAUGACGAUGUCAGGUCGACGUGUUAUAUAGCUGCAUGUCAAUUGGUCGCGAUUUUUUGCCUGUUCGAUUUAAAUCACUACAUGUAUCUUCCGUUGCUUCGUAACACAAGCGGCACAGGCUGUAAUUUGUUGUGGGAGUUACUGGAGAAUUUGCUCUACGCCGCGAAUUGCAGCUAAAGUGGGACUUAGAACUGCAAUUGUGGAGGAAAAAAUAAGUGGAUAGAAAAAGAGGAAAAAAGCACUGAAGCACACUCCAUGGAUUCCACAAAGGCAGUGCUGGAUGCCAUACUGGAAGCAGAGAGUGAUUGCUGCCCACCACCCUCGCUGGUGCCGAGGGAAGAUGUGGAGUCCAUGGAGAGUGAAGUGCAGAAUGACAUGAAGCCAGUGUUCGCAUUGUUGGUUCCUCUUACACCCAAUGAAGAACCAAUUGGUUUGGGCUCACUAAAAUCCAUGACUUGUGAAGAGUGACAAACCAUGCAGUGACCUACACUUCUAUAAUGAGAGAAAAGAAAAUUUUCACACAAGGCAUAGCAGAUGGUAUCCUCAAUGGGAUGUGCUUACGAUAAUAUAAGGUUGACUGAAAAUACUGGUGGGAGCUGUGGCAUUUCGUUUGAAGACUCUGUUAAUCAAGGAGAAGUCAUUGAUGAGCUGGGGAUAGGUGCAGAGGGGUCGCCACACGUCUCCAUGUGUGGUAGUCUCACCCAAGGAUUACUGUCUCAAGAGGACGACUCAUUCAGCACAAGAUACAAUUGUAGUUUGGAGGUAAAAGAAGUUCAUGAAUUUAGCUGUAGUUUCUGUCUACAGCAAUUUCCAUCAAAAUACUCCCUCGUAAUGCAUGUAUUUAUCCACAUAGAUGGUGUGCAGCCACCUAAACAUGUUUGUAAGUCAUGUGGUGAGGUAUUUCCCAGUAAUGACAGCUUGAACAAACAUUUGAAAAUGAGUGAAGGUGGUAAAGUUUUACCUGCUGAUAAGACAUUUGACAACUGUGAUGACCAUGAAAACAUUAUCUUCUUGGAAGGUGACAGAAAACUUUCUAUCAUGGUGCAGACGGAGAAGCAAUCUUCAUCCAAGGAAUGUUGGAAAAGUUCAAAGAAAUCCUUUAAUGACACACAUCACACUCAGACUGUGACAUGUGUUGCAGAGAAACCAGACUGACAUGAUCAUUCCGCAACUUCAUCUACAACAGGUAAUAUCAAUGCCAACAGUGUUUUAAUUACUCCAGUGAAAACACACAAAUGUGAUGGUUGUGAAAAGUCUUAUACUCAGUUGGGCAAGCUAAGGCACCAAACAUUAAUAAACACUGGGAUGAAACCUGAAAAAUCUGGUAUCUGCGACAAAUCUCUCACUUUGUCGUUUGGUCUCAAGAGGCAACCACUGAUACACACUAGAGAGAGACCACAUAAAUGUGAUGCUUGUAGCAAAUCUUUUACACGGUUAGAACAUCUUAAGAGGCAUUUACUAAUACACAUUGGUGAGAGACCCCACAAAUGUGACAUUUGUGGUAUGUCUUUUACUCAGUUGGAUUACCUCAAGAGCCACGCAUUGAAACAUACUGGAAAGAGACCUUACAAAUGUGAUACUUGCGGAAAAUCUUUUACUCGCUUGGAACAUCUAAAGGGGCACGCAUUAAUACACAGUGGAAAAAAAGAUCACAAAUGUGAUACUUGUGGCAAAUACUUUAAGCAGUAUAGUAGUCUGAAGAGGCACUUACUAAUACACACUGGUAAGAGACCCCAUAAAUGUGAUACUUGCGGUACAGCCUUUACUCGGUUGAGUCAUCUCAAGAGGCAUAUGUUGUUACACAAUGGAUAGGGAUGCCACAGGUGUGAAACUUGGGGGCAAAUGUUUUCCCCAGUUGGAUAAUUUCAAGAGCCACAGAUCACACAAACUGGGAUGAGGCCUCACAAAUGUGAUAUCCGUUGCAAAUAUUUUAUUCCUUUGGGACAUUUUGAAAGGCAUGCAUUAAUAAAGGCAGUUAUGAUGUAAUAUUUGUGGCACAUCCUUCCACCAGGCUAGUAAUUUCAAGACUGGAGUAAGAGCAAAGAAAUGUGAACGUAAUGGCAUUUGUUGUGCUGAUUAUGUAAUUAUUAGUGUGUGAAAUUGUGCUGUGUUUAUUUAAUAAUAUAUUACAAAAUAUCUGAGAAUGUCAAAUAUAUCCCAACAGAAUGAAAUAUGUUUUUAACUUGUGUAGCGCUAAAAAUUUACAUUAUGCUUGGCGCUUAUACCAGUACUUUAGUGGGGUUCAGUGAACUGUGUUUCAUGUGAAACACUUGUGUACAUGAUUCAGAGCUCAUGGACGUGAGUGAGCUUUUAUUGUAAUGACUUCCUAUUAUUUAAAUAUGAUUUUUUACUGUGCUUUCUGUGAAUAAACAUGUUUUUGCAAAAGUGGUGUGUUGUAUUUUGUUUGAAAGUAGUUGUUGUUGUUGUUAUGUUUUGUUAUUAAAUGUCUGGUUUG